AAAGGAAUUGACGGGGGCCCGCACAAGCGGUGGAGCAUGUGGUUUAAUUCGAUGCAACGCGAAGAACCUUACCAGGGCUUGACAUCUUGCGAAUCCUGUGGAAACACGGGAGUGCCCUCUUUAUAGAGGGAACGCAAAGACAGGUGGUGCAUGGUUGUCGUCAGCUCGUGUCGUGAGAUGUUGGGUUAAGUCCCGCAACGAGCGCAACCCUUGCCCUUAGUUGCCAGCACGAUAGGGUGGGCACUCUAAGGGGACUGCCGGUGACAAACCGGAGGAAGGUGGGGAUGACGUCAAAUCAUCAUGCCCUUUAUGUCCUGGGCUACACACGUGCUACAAUGGCCGGUACAGAGGGCAGCGAACCCGUGAGGGGGAGCCAAUCCCAAAAAGCCGGCCUAAGUUCGGAUUGCAGGCUGCAACUCGCCUGCAUGAAGUCGGAAUCGCUAGUAAUCGCGGAUCAGCAUGCCGCGGUGAAUACGUUCCCGGGCCUUGUACACACCGCCCGU
rnacentral:rRNA from 1 species